rnacentral:rRNA from 1 species
AUUGAACGCUGGCGGCAUGCCUUACACAUGCAAGUCGAACGGCAGCACGGGUGCUUGCACCUGGUGGCAGGUGGCGAACGGGUGAGUAAUACAUCGGAACAUGUCCUGUAGUGGGGGAUAGCCCGGCGAAAGCCGGAUUAAUACCGCAUACGAUCUACGGAUGAAAGCGGGGGACCUUCGGGCCUCGCGCUAUAGGGUUGGCCGAUGGCUGAUUAGCUAGUUGGUGGGGUAAAGGCCUACCAAGGCGACGAUCAGUAGCUGGUCUGAGAGGACGACCAGCCACACUGGGACUGAGACACGGCCCAGACUCCUACGGGAGGCAGCAGUGGGGAAUUUUGGACAAUGGGCGAAAGUCUGAUCCAGCAAUGCCGCGUGUGUGAAGAAGGCCUUCGGGUUGUAAAGCACUUUUGUCCGGAAAGAAAUCCUUGGCCCUAAUACGGUCGGGGGAUGACGGUACCGGAAGAAUAAGCACCGGCUAACUACGUG